CCUCUCCCAGUACAGUCCCAGUGAUCCCGGUAAACACCUCCUUUCCCAGUACAGCUCCAGUGCUCCCAGUAACCUGCAGCUCCUCUGUCAGUUCUGUCCCACUGCUGCCAGUAACUACCACCACUUCUCCCAGUACUGGCCCAGUGCUCCCAGUAACCGGCAGCUCCUCGUCCCGUCACCACAAAGCAGACUUGCCCUCCCCAGACCCCCAGGUGUUCAGCCGACUGGUUAAGUACUUGAGGUCGCAGGCGGUUCAUCUGGGGAACCACCACCCCACCCUGCCCGGCUCGCGUGCGGACCCUCCGGACCCCCGGCCCGGCGGCGGCGCCGCCCAGCUCGUUCCCUUCUGCGGGCGGCAGGCCGUCUCCCUCCCCCUCGGCGCUGUCGGGAUGGGGCUGGACCUGGCUGUCCCGUCCCCCGGAUACCCGGUGAGUCCCCCUGGGUGCGGAUCUGUAGGGGUUCGGGUCCGAGUUGAUUCUCCGAAUCUCGCUGAGUAGGCCGGAUACUGCAGAAACCAAGUAGAUGAGUCAGAGAUUAUAAUAAUAAUAAUUCCUUUCGCUUAUAUAGCGCCUUUCUGGACCCUCCACUCCGAGCUCUUCCCAGGUCAGGGGGAAUCCCACUACCCCCACCAGUGUGCAGCCCCACCUGGAUGAUGCUCC
rnacentral:lncRNA from 1 species